CUCUGUAGUCUUGUGCGCCUCGUC
rnacentral:siRNA from 1 species